GCUCAGCAGUACCCACUCUUCAGGUUUCAAAUGAUGAUCUUGCAAAAAUAGUUGAUACAAAUGAUGAAUGGAUAUCUGUUCGAACUGGGAUUCGCAAUCGAAGAGUUCUUACAGGCAAAGAUAGCUUGAUUUCUCUAGCUGCAGAGGCAGCUAGUAAGGCUCUUCAGAUGGCAGAAGUGGAGCCUGAUGAUGUGGACCUAGUCUUGAUGUGCACAUCUACACCAGAAGAUCUUUUUGGUAGUGCUCCUCAGAUCCAAAAGGCACUUGGCUGCAAAAGAAAUCCUUUAGCUUAUGAUAUUACAGCUGCAUGUAGUGGAUUCGUAUUGGGUCUGGUCUCAGCUGCUUGUCACAUUAGGGGAGGUGGGUUUCAAAAUGUAUUGAUAAUUGGUGCUGAUUCUCUUUCUCGAUAUGUUGACUGGACGGAUAGAGGAACUUGUAUUCUCUUUGGGGAUGCUGCAGGUGCUGUGCUUGUACAGGCCUGUGACAGCGAGGAUGAUGGUUUGUUUAGUUUUGACUUGCAUAGUGAUGGUGAUGGCCAAAGACAUUUGAAAGCCACCAUCAAAGAAAACGAAGUGGAUCAUGCACUGGAAUCUAACGGUUCAGUUUUAGGCUUCCCUCCCUGGCAUACCUCGUAUUCUUGCAUUCAGAUGAAUGGAAAAGAGGUUUUUCGCUUUGCUGUACGAUGUGUGCCACAAUCUGUAGAGUCUGCCCUUGAAAAGGCUGGUCUCACUGGGUCUAGCAUUGAUUGGUUACUGCUCCACC
rnacentral:misc_RNA from 1 species